rnacentral:rRNA from 1 species
AGUGAACGCUGGCGGUAGGCCUAACACAUGCAAGUCGAACGGCAGCACAGUAAGAGCUUGCUCUUACGGGUGGCGAGUGGCGGACGGGUGAGGAAUACAUCGGAAUCUACUUUUUCGUGGGGGAUAACGUAGGGAAACUUACGCUAAUACCGCAUACGAACUACGGGUGAAAGCAGGGGAUCUUCGGACAUCGCGCGAUUGAAUGAGCCGAUGUCGGAUUAGCUAGUUGGCGGGGUAAAGGCCCACCAAGGCGACGAUCCGUAGCUGGUCUGAGAGGAUGAGCAGCCACACUGGAACUGAGACACAGUCCAGACUCCUACGGGAGGCGGCAGUGGGGAAUAUUGUACAAUGGGCGCGAGCCUGAUCCAGCCAUACCGCGUGUGUGAAGAAGGCCUUCGGAUUGUAAAGCCCUUUUGUUGGGAAAGAAAAGCAGCAGGUUAAUACCCCGCUGUUCUGACGUUACCCAAAGAAUAAGCACCGGCUAACUUCGUG